rnacentral:rRNA from 1 species
UUCCGGUUGAUCCUGCCGGAGGCUACCGCUAUUGGAGUUCGAUUAAGCCAUGCGAGUCGCGAGUCUUAGGGACUCGGCGUACCGCUCAGUAACACGUGGGUAACCUGCCCUAUGCUGGGGGAUAACCUCGGGAAACUGAGAAUAAUACCCCAUAGUUCACCACGCCUGGAACGGUGGGUGGACCAAAGCUCCGGCGGCAUAGGAUGGGCCUGCGGCGUAUCAGGUUGUAGGGGGUGUAAUGUACCCUCUAGCCCUCUACGCGUACGGGUGUUGAGAGACAUCGCCCGGAGAUGGAUUCUGAGACACGAAUCCAGACCCUACGGGGUGCAGCAGGCGCGAAAACUUGGCAAUGCGAGAAAUCGUGACCAGGGAACUCCAAGUGCAUCGGGUAAGACCGAUGCUUUUCUUGACUCUUCAAAGGUCUUGGAAUAAGGGGUGGGUAAGGACGGUGCCAGCCGCCGCGGUAAUACCGGCGCCCCAAGUGGUAGUCGCUUUUAUUGGGCCUAAAACGUCCGUAGCCGGUCUGGUACAUUCGUGGGUAAAUCAACCAGCUCAACUGGUUGAAUUCUGCGAGCACGGCCAGACUUGGGACCGGGAGAGGUGUGGGGUACUCUCAGGGUAGGGGUAAAAUCCUGUCAUCCUGAGAGGACCACCUGUUGCGAAGGCGCCACACUAGAACGGAUCCGACGGUCAGGGACGAAGCCUAGGGGCACGAACCGGAUUAGAUACCCGGGUAGUCCUAGGUGUAAACGCUGUGGACUUGAUGUUGGGAGUGCUCCGAGCACCCUCAGUGUCGAAGCGAAGGUGAUAAGUCCACUGCCUGGGGAGUACGGUCGCAAGGCUGAAACUUAAAGGAAUUGGCGGGGGAGCACUGCAACCUGAGGAUUGUGCGGUUUAAUUGGAUUCAACGCCGGA